UGGGGAAUCUUCCGCAAUGGGCGAAAGCCUGACGGAGCAAUGCCGCGUGAGUGAAGAAGGCCUUCGGGUUGUAAAGCUCUAUCCUUGUCCAAGAGAGCAGAGUAUAGUAACUGAUAGUCUGAGGACGGUAGACAAGAAGGAAGCCCCGGCUAACUAUGUGCCAGCAGCCGCGGUAAAACAUAGGGGGCAAGCGUUGUCCGGAAUCACUGGGCGUAAAGGGCGCGUAGGCGGUCUGUUAAGUCGGAUGUGAAAUGUAAGGGCUCAACCCUUAACGUGCAUCUGAUACUGGCAGACUUGAGUGCGGAAGAGGCAAGUGGAAUUCCUAGUGUAGCG
rnacentral:rRNA from 1 species